CGAGUGAAGCGGUAACAGCUCAAAUUUGAAAUCUGGGUCUUUCAGGCUCCGAGUUGUAAUUUGUAGAAGAUGCUUUGGGUGCGGCCCCGGUCUAAGUUCCUUGGAACAGGACGUCAUAGAGGGUGAGAAUCCCGUAUGUGAUCGGUGGCUUGCGCCCGUGUAAAGCUCUUUCGACGAGUCGGGUUGUUUGGGAAUGCAGCUCUAAAUGGGUGGUAAAUUUCAUCUAAAGCUAAAUAUUGGCCAGAGACCGAUAGCGCACAAGUAGAGUGAUCGAAAGAUGAAAAGGACUUUGGAAAGAGAGUUAAACAGUACGUGAAAUUGUUGAAAGGGAAGCGCUUGCAACCAGACUUGCGCGGGGUUGAUCAUCCGGGGUUCUCCCCGGUGCACUCGGCCUCGCUCAGGCCAGCAUCGGUUUCGGUGGUUGGAUAAAGGCCUUGGGAAUGUGACUUCUUUCGGGGAGUGUUAUAGCCCUCGGUGCAAUGCAGCCUACCGGGACCGAGGACCGCGCUUCGGCUAGGAUGCUGGCGUAAUGGUUGUAAGCGACCCGUCUUGAAACACGGACCAAGGAGUCUAACAUCUAUGCGAGUGUUUGGGUGUCAAACCCAUACGCGUAAUGAAAGUGAACGGAGGUGAGAACCCUUAAGGGUGCAUCAUCGACCGAUCCUGAUGUCUUCGGAUGGAUUUGAGUAAGAGCAUAGCUGUUGGGACCCGAAAGAUGGUGAACUAUGCCUGAAUAGGGUGAAGCCAGAGGAAACUCUGGUGGAGGCUCGCAGCGGUUCUGACGUGCAAAUCGAUCGUCAAAUUUGGGCAUAGG
rnacentral:rRNA from 1 species